UGUUAGCUAGGUAGCAUGGUUAGCGAGUAUUAGGUUAUGAUCUCCUUUCUGCUAGAAGGGUAGAACCACAUUAACCUUCUAUUGUGCCAUAUUUGUGGCACGGCGUUAUAACUUUUACAUUUCUUGAUCUUAAAAUAAAGAUGCACAAAUCUUUUGUGAGAAAAAACUAUUGCAUUCCAUCUAUAUAUUUUGUUAAAAUAGACGAUUUUAUUGCCCACACAUAAUGCUAUAAUCAGGAGGAAAAAUCAAGGCAUUUAUAUCAAAAGAUAACAGGCGAAUUUAAAUGCGUUAUUAUUGUUCAAGCAAAGGAGGCCCUCGAUCACGCCUUGAUAUUUGAUAAUAUAAUGCAGUCAUUAGUACUGCCAAAUACUCCUGUAUAAUAUGCGAUUGGAAUUUACUAACGGAAAUCAGUAAAUUAUUUGCCGCGACAGUUGCCAAAUCGAAGCCAUUUCCACCACCGCACUCUCCCUUAUUUAAAGGCUCCCUCCCUCUGUACAUUCCACACCAGCCACUCCAUCAUCACCCUUCACUCAUCAGCCAUGGUGCUCACCAUGGCCACCGGCCAAGAGGACUCCCUCCUCCUGCUCCUCCUCCCCACCACCUCCCCACUCCCGCCCCUCAUGGCCGUGUUCAUCCUAGCCGCCGUCCUCCUGUGGCUCUCCCCCGGUGGUCCUGCGUGGGCGCUCUCCCGCUGCCGCCGCCCGCCGUCCGGCCCAACGGGCGUGGUCACCGCGCUCUCAAGCCCCGUGGCGCACCGCACCCUGGCGGCGCUGUCCCACGCCGUAGACGGCGGCAAAGCACUGAUGGCCUUCUCGGUCGGGCUCACCCGCCUCGUCGUGUCGAGCCAGCCCGACACGGCGCGAGAGAUCCUCGUCAACCCCGCGUUCAGCGACCGCCCCAUCAAGGACGCGGCUCGCCACCUGCUCUUCCACCGCGCCAUGGGCUUCGCGCCCUCCGGAGACGCGCACUGGCGCGGGCUCCGCCGCCUCGCCGCCAACCACCUGUUCGGCCCGCGCCGCGUGGCGGCGGCCGCGCACCACCGCGUCUCCAUCGGCGAGGCCAUGGUCGCCGACGUCGCCGCUGCCAUGGCCCGCCACGGCGAGGUCUCCCUGAAGCGCGUGCUGCAUAUCGCGUCUCUCAACCACAUCAUGGCCACCGUCUUCGGCAAGCACUACGACAUGGACAGCCAAGAGGGCGUCCUUCUGGAAGAGAUGGUCACCGAGGGCUACGACCUCCUGGGCACGUUCAACUGGGCUGACCACCUGCCGUUGAUCAAGCAUCUCGACCUCCAGGGCGUGCGCCGCCGGUGCAACAGGUUAGUCCAAAAGGUUGAAGUGUUCGUUGGAAAGAUCAUCCAGGAGCACAGGGCGAGGCGCGCGAAUGGAGGAGUCGACGAUGAGUACAUGGGUGACUUCGUCGACGUCCUUCUUGACCUCGAGGGAGAGGAGAAGCUGUCCGAAUCCGACAUGAUCGCUGUUCUUUGGGUAAGAUCGAUCGAGUUUAGAAAUGUUUGCUGUGUAACUAAAAUGCACGUUCUUUCAGAUCUUAAACGUUACGUUCAUGGAAAAAUUUCCGGUCGUUUUUGUUUCGAUCAGGAGAUGAUCUUCAGAGGCGCCGACACUGUGGCGAUCUUGAUGGAGUGGAUCAUGGCGAGGAUGGCGCUGCACCCUGAAAUCCAGUCCAAGGCCCAGGCGGAGCUGGACGGCGUCGUCGUGGGCGGCGUGGCGGACGCCGACGUGGGCAACCUCCCCUACAUCCAGUGCAUCGUGAAGGAGACGCUGCGGAUGCACCCUCCGGGCCCGCUCCUGUCGUGGGCGCGCCUCGCCAUCCACGACGCGCACGUCGGCGGCCACCUGGUCCCCGCCGGCACCACGGCCAUGGUGAACAUGUGGUCCAUCGCGCAUGACCCCGCCAUCUGGGCAGAGCCGGAGAAGUUCCGCCCCGAGCGCUUCCAGGAGGAGGACGUGAGCGUCCUCGGGAGCGACCUCCGCCUGGCCCCGUUCGGCGCCGGACGCCGCGUCUGCCCCGGCAAGAUGCUGGCCCUCGCCACCACACACCUCUGGAUCGCCCAGCUGCUGCACGAGUUCGAGUGGGCACCCGCGGCCGCCAACGGCGGCGUCGACCUGUCCGAGCGCCUCAACAUGUCGCUGGAGAUGGCCACGCCGCUGGUGUGCAAGGCCGUCCCCAGGGCCCAGCUGGCCUAAGCUGCCGCCUCCAUGCAUGCCGCCCUGCUGAGAGAGAGUCUCGUUUUCGUUCGCGUACGUGUCUAUGCAUGCACGCCUCAGCUACUGUAGCUUGUGGCUUGCUAGUGUGUUUUGGAUGUCCUGCGUCGAGACCACCAAAAUAAUAAUAGUAAUGAAGUUUUAAGUUUUGAUAUUAUGACGCGCCAUGUUUUAUGUUAUUGGUGGUUUCUCAAUUCUCAUUGGCGGAUGCAAUGCAUACAUAUGCCUUCUAAUGGACUCCUAUAUGGUACCAUGGCUGCAUGCAUGCAAUGCAAGGAGAAAUGGUGUGUUCCGUCCUAACGAACUGUAGAACACUUGUACUGUGUGUGUUCAUGCCACUCGUUCCGUCGUCCCAACUAGAUCGUUAAUCUUAGUCUAUGCAUGCAUGAUGCAUUGGAGGUUGUUUUUUAUGAUCUUCCAGAUAUAAUUUUUCUUAUGUGAUCUGAAUCUUGCUUGGAAUAAAAAGCGCACUAAACGUGAGAUAAGACAGGCCAAUUGGCAAAGCACCGAAUGAUUCGCCCGAGCUUGAAACGGUUUCAGUAUCGGCGCAAAUGGUUUUGGCCUCUGCAUGUUUGUCAGAUUGGGUGCUAUCUUUCAGCCAAAGGGUAAAAGAUUAUUGCACGAAACAGAUGAAGCUGGUGUUGGAGUCAACUCUAAUACUGGUAUACUGCCGAGAGAAGAUUAGCACAGUUUAUUGAUUUAUUGUGAGAGAAUGACCACGAACUUGUGGAGAAUUGUAAAUCCCUUUUUCUGCGUUCCCAGUUUCAGCACCUCGAUGUCUAGUCACACUCAGAUCACGAUCAUCUUCGAUAUGUGCCAACAGAUCAGAAAUCAACCUGGUCAUAGAUGAAGAUUCGACCAAUGCGAGCUGACGCAAGCAGGUGCUGUUCAAGAGCGGUGAGGUCAACGCCUAUACUUUUCAGAUAUGUGCUCUGGUGCUGCAGCUGCCGUCAGGGCUACCACAAGAAACGCAGUAAUCGAAGUCAAACACGGGGGGACACCGAUCACUGUUUCGUCCAAGGAAACAGAGAGCUGGGUGCAGAGUAAUUUUUUUCCCCAACUGAUCACCCGAAGCGAUCUGUUUCUUUCGUGGAAGCAGCGAUCUGUUUGACUAUUUCACAGUGUUUCGUGUUUGCCUGUUUGUUUAUUCGUCUGAUUUAUUAUAAGAUAAAAAAAUAUUGCUGAAUGAUUAACAGAUUCGAUAAAUAAGUUUAAGUGAACAGGUCUUAAGGUGCAGCUAGCUAACCGUGGGAGAUGAAUGGAUGGACCUCACUAUCUCAACCAGGUGUAGCUUGUCGACCAUAGUUUUCUGUACCUCGCCGGCCUUUUUAUGGGAGGGUGCGGGCACCCUUGACUCCAUCUCCCUGUGAAUCUGCUCUUUAGAACCUGAUCACCAAAACGAUAUGAUUCCACGUCCAUUUGCAAUCUAAAGAACGAGGCGAUACGAUUCCAGCUUUCACCUGUCUUUGCUUUUGUAAGAUCCAAAUCUGCACGGUAUAAGUGAUGAGAUGAGAUACGCGAAAGCUGUGACAUUGCCACCAACGGGAAGAAAGAUGCUAACGUCUCUGACGAGAAACGGAAACGUCCAAAUCCAAACGUGUUUUUUGGUACUAUGCAGCUUGCACGACGACCCUGAGGCACGGUAGUACUGGUACAGCAGAGAAGCUAAAACUUGUGGGCGCGCCAUGCCGCCAUGCAUGCAUGGUCUCGUCCCGUCUCGUCUCAUCAUUGGCGCAGGCAGGCCGCAGGAUGUGCAGACGGAGGUGUGGGCGGUGGUACCAUCAGAGCUGGCGGUGGCAGAUCUCGCCGCCGAUGUCUGCGUUGGUCACGUCCUCGAUCAGUCAGUUGAGUCAUCGGUGAAACCGAGCUGGUGCUGGUGGGUCCGGGUGGAUCAGUGCAUCGCAUCGGCCGCUGGCGAGAUGAGUGCGUAGUCGAUCGGAUGCCACGGGAACGGGCGCCGCCGGACACGACGGCAUGGGCACGCCCGCCUCCGUCCGUCUCUCAGCCGCGGCGGUGCACGUUGCAACGGCUUGGCGGCGGCCUGUCGCGGCUCGCUACAGUCCCGUCCCAGGAAUUCGACCACGCGCGCGCCGCAAGCGGGACGUGGUACCGGUACCGUGGGUGCCGCCGCCGCGCGCGGCUUCUUUCUGCGCGGACGUUUCCUGCUGGCCUGCUGCUGCUGCUGCUGCCGCGGGCGCGCUUCAAGCCGGGUAUACUACUGUUCGACAGCUUCGUCGCGCGGCCCAGAAAGCCCCGACUUGAUUGGUACGAGGCCCAGAAGCCUGGUCGUGGUUGGAGACCAGUCAGUCGCCGACCUGACAUCAGGCGCGCGCUCCUAUCAUCGUGGGCUGAAUUGGACUACGGGAGCUGUGUAGCACAUCUGUUUCGAAAUCUUUCUUUUUCCCCAAACACGCAUGUAUAUAUACACGUACAACUACACGCGCAACUGUUUUAGAAUUUCCUUACAUGUAUGCAUGGUAAAAUUCUUAUGUGGGAUUUGAAAAGAGGCAUGUGACACUUUUUUUAGAACAUGGUACAUAUAUUUCACUAAAAAGAGAAAAAGUUAUUACAGCGACUAUUAGAAAAGAAAAGGCAAACAGAAGGGCAAAGGACAACUACUAUUGAAUAACAUUCACAAAAUGAAUAAUGGACUUUGAAAUGACAAAAGGAAUCCGCUCAUGAUCAUUUAAUAGAGCUAAAAAUAGGGAAUGUCGCAACCACAUAAGGUCCGUCUCAAUGGCAAGUUUCAUUACCCAGAUUCCAAGACUGCCACGUCAGUUUUACAUAAUGGCCUUAUUUAGUUGGCAAAUUUUUUUGUUUUUGGUACUGUAGCAUUUCGUUUUUAUUUGACAAACAUUGUCCAAUCACGGAGUAACUAGGCUCAAAAGAUUCAUCUCACAAAUUACAGGUAAACUGUGCGGUUAGUUUUUAUUUUCGUCUAUAUUUAAUGCUCCAUGCAUGCGACCAAAGAUUCGAUGUGACGGAUAAUCUUGAAAAUUUUUGCGAACUAAACAAGGCCUGAAUUGAGGAGUGAAACUGACUCUCUCAAUGUACAAUUUCCUUUCACAUUUUCAUAGGCAAGCUGCAUCAUUUAAUUACUAUACGGUGCUGUGAUCUAAUGUGACAUGUAAAUUGUGUAGCCUGAAAUUUUAUCUAAACCAAACAUAGUCAGUUUGGCAAAGAAAUGUGUUUUAUAACCUUUUGUAUUUCUUAUCGGCAAAUAUACGCAUAAACUUUUCUAGAAGCUAUUCUUUAAUCAAUCCUAUGUGCAAACGGACAAAGAUCAACGGGCAAAUCAAAAUCAGUGUGUUGUCUCUGUACUCAUGUAGUACGAACUAAUUAAAUCCGGGUAUGAACUUACCGGAUACUGCAGAUUCGAUGAUUGAUUUCCUUGUGGUCACUGAGUUGCAGCCGGCGUCCGUGGAGAGAGAGAUGAGGUAGAGUCCCGGGCGUCCUUCUUUCUUUGGUGAUACAUUGCAGGCAUGGCUCCUUUCGCACGGCAACUUCACCCUAUCGCACCCCGUCGAAGCCCCACCGUGCGUAGAUUCAACUCUACCUUGCGCCUACCCCGCGACGAUUUCAGCCGACAAGCACCGACUCAGAGCCGAUGGCCCUCUGCCCCACAUCGAUUCAGCCAUGCAUCUCGGUGGAAGCAGGGCGCCAUCCACAGCUCUCAACGGAUCCAUGGUGCUGAAUCUAGACCUGGUGUCGCCGGAGCUCCCAACCUGCUCGCCUCUGCUGUAUGGGAAGGAUGGCGCGCACCUGGAGCACGCGACGGGAAGGAAUCAGUUGCGGUGCGGGAGAGAAGUCAGAGUCGCACGCCUGGAGCAUGAGAUCGCUCGGAUGAAACUUUCUCCCUCAACGCUGGUUUCACGCGCUUUCCAAGUUGUUGGAAACGGUGCACGCUCGUUUCGUGGGGAUGAAACGUAUCCCCUCUCUCUCCUACUACUUGUUUCAUGCAAAAAUUCCAAAUCUGUUCAUGUGGCACCAUAUUUAAUGUGUAUAAAACUCCUCGUGAAACCCCAUUGAGACUGACCUAACAAACAAUGUGUCUUUUUCCCACCAUCUCAAUUGUUGGAUACACCUUAGACCAUGCCAACGCUUAUAUUAUUGUGGUCUCGUCAGGGCACAUAGACUCAGAUGUCAUGUGAAAUAAAAAAAUUACGAGUACACUAAUUUUGCAAGCUAUCAACGAAUCUUAUAGGAGCUCUCAUGGCUUCGCCUCAAAAAAAUGAAGAGUACAACUUAUUUAUCAAACUUCUUGACAACUAAACAAAGUCGGUGUAUGUCAAAUGACAACUAUUCUAUAAAUAAAGCAGUUUUGGCACAAUUUGCUCAUUAUAACAAAUAGAACAAUCAUGUUGGUUUUAGAGCUCGUUUAGUUGCUGCUCGUAAAAUGCCACGCCACAAUUGGGCUACGCUGUAAAAAUCUUAGCUCUCUUAUUUGGUUGAUGAUCAAUAUAGGUGUAGGCAGUCACAACAAACAUCAGUCAUAACAAGCUAGAUUCAGUCACACUUUACGACGAUGAUCUUUUGCGUCUACCAUUGUGCCAUAUCUAGAGGCACAUGGUGGCCUAGUACAACUAUCUAUAUUCCCUUUGUCCCGUUUUAAUAGUCAUUUUAGUUUUCAAUGAGGUACAAUAAAAAUUCUCUAAACCAAGACGGUGAUGUGUCUAGAUGGAUGAUUCUAUGAUCCUAGACACUUAAAUAAUGUGCGAGUGAGGCCUUGUUUAGUUCCCAAAAACUAAAAACUUUUCAAAAUUCUCUGUCACAUUGAAUCUUGCGGCACAUGUAUGGAGCAUUAAAUAUAGACGAAAACAAAAACCAAUUGCACAAUUUGCAUGUAAAUCGCGAGAUGAAUCUUUUGAGCCUAGUUAGUCAAUAAUUAGACAAUAAUUACCAAAUAAAAACGAAAGUACUACAAUACCCAAAACUAUUUUUUUUAAACAAAACAAUUCCUGAGACAAAGGAACUAGUUUAUUUUAACAUACUUUACUUAAAAAAAUGAGAAAGGGAGAUGAAAAUCUACUAGCUAUUUUUUAUGAAGAGAUAAACACGCACACUUUCUAAUAAUUCAUAUGACUAUAUUUACACAAGCUUUUAUAUUAACAAUGUUAUUUUCUAAUAAUGUCAAUAUUGAAGAUACCCUAGACGUACUCCCAAUGGUAGUAGGAGAGAAAAUCAUGGUACUCUCUGUGUCUUAACAUAAAAAUUAAUUUUGCUUAAAUCAACUUCUCUUAAGUUUCCUCUGUACCAAUAAAAAAAGUUGUUUUGGACAAUGACACGGUCUUCAAAAGCCUAACUUUGACUUUUUGUUUUUAUAAAAAUAUUCAUCAAAAAGUCAUAUAUGUAUAUUUACAUAAAAAUAUUUUUCAAGAUAAAUCUAUUCAUAUAGUUUUCACAUUUCAAAACUCGACAACUUAAAAGUUAUUUAUAAUUUAUAUUUACAAUAUUUUGACUCAAAGCUUGUCCAAAAUAAUUUUUUCUUUAUAGUUAUGAAGGGAGUAUAAAAAUAUUAAUAUUUAUAAUAUAUAAUUAGUAUUAUUGGAUAGAUCAUUAAAUAUACCACUAUAAUAAAUUUAUUUGGAGAUAUAAAUGUGGUAGUAUUUUUGUAUCUUGGAAAGACGCUGCACUCAUGGCCCACACGCAGGGUCAGCUGUCAACACCGGUCAUCGUCGUCGCCGAAUAGCCACAGUCCCACUCCCAGCGGCCCGUCCCUUUCCCCCUUCCGCGUCGCCGUCGCCGCGAUCCGGCCGAAGCAAAGUUCCCACGCACUCGUUCCUAUCCCCUUGCGCCGGCGUGGGUCGCGCAGGAAGCGGAGCUGACAGCUGAGCCACCGGUAUCAGAUAUCCAGGCCAUGAUGAUUUACGGGUCGCACUCUCACCAACCACCUUUGACCAUAUAUUUAUUAGGAAUAGGGAGGUCGGAGGCGGAUGCGUGGGUUAGUGAGGGACUCGGAUCAGCAGCAGUCGAUCAGGAGGCCGGCCGGCCAUGGAGGAGGGAGGCGAGCACACGAGUCUUCUGGUCAAGGUACGGCGAACCUGCUGUCGAUUGGUCUCCGCCGAAUCGGAGCUAGCUCUUGCUUGCUUGCCGCUGAAUGGUUUAUUUGCUGGGUUUGGGGAUCGCGCUCGCCAGGAGCAAAAUUGGGUGCUAGAACCGCGUGCCUUUGUAUUGUCUCCCAAAAGCGGCGGUUUGGGCAACCAAGUUAGGGGCUAUGAGUCUAGAACUGUUGAACAGGCUGACGGGCAUCUGAUCGUGAGUCGUGAGUUCGUGACAUGCAUGCAUAGUAGUGAAUUGGCUGCACAACUGUAGAUCGUGCAGUAUGCACAGAUGUGUAGUACAUGGAAGUCGUUGCUUGUAAGUCUGGGAUGUGAAAAUGAAGGGAAAUGAUUGCAAAAUUUCUUGCUUACAUUGACUUUACAAGAUGAUUGGACUUAAUUACAGAAAGUUGUCAGAUAAAACUGUCGAAAAUUUGUUUACUGUGAGAAACAUUAUGGUCUCAUAUGUUAAUACCUGGCCUUCCUUUAGGAUGAUGCAUCAUGUCAUGGCGAGGAAACACAAAGUAUAUUGGAAGCAAAUCUAGGGCCACAGCUGAAAAGUAAAUGCUCUGACUGGAGAGCACCGGCACUCAUCCUGGGUGAGUCAUGCAGUGUCAAUAUGUUCUCUGAAACUGUCUGAUAUCCAGCUCGUGUAUAGAGCACCUAUCACUCUUUUACAUUAUUUAGUGUGAUUUCUUAUGAGAUGCUUGUUUGUUUAUUUUUUCUGGCCACUGGUAUACAAAGAGUGAUAGGUGCUCUACACACGAGUUGGUAUUCUUCUAUGGUUAGCUGAUCCAUGGUUAGCGUAUCAAUUCUAGCCACAUUUCCUAUAAUUAGACUAUUUAUGGUUAUCUGAUCAAUUCUCGGGGUGAUAUUCUUCUUGAUUCUGUGACUAAGAGACUGCAUUCCUUGACCGGGAGGAUGUUAAUCAGUUCAAAUCCUGCAGGAUUGGAAUGCUUGGAGAGCAUGGCUUUUAAUGGCAUUGCCACAAACCUAGUCGUGUAUCUCCGUUCGGUCCUCCAUGGUGGUAUUGCUUCCAGUGCAUCAACAGUAUCUCUUUGGUACGGGACAAGCUUCUUUGUGCCAAUGCUUGGAGCCGCCAUAGCAGAUACUUGCUUGGGAAAUUAUAAGACCAUCCUGAUCUCCCUUAUCAUGUACCUAAUUGUAAGAUAUUUUUUCCUUCUCAGCUGCUUGUUCUUAUUCAGCUCUUUUCGUUUCGAGUUUGGUAUACUAUUUUGGAUUAGGAUGCAAAGUCUCUCUCUCUCUCUCUCUCUCAUAAAAUGCCAAUGCUGAUUGCAGGGAAUGGUACUGAUUACAGUUGCAACAUUUCUGCCUUCUACUUCAAUCUUAUGCGACGCCAGCUCAUGCUUGUCAUCAAAUGGAACUCAAACCGUGAUUUUCUUUGCUGGUUUGUAUCUCACUGCUGUUGGAUGUGGAGGCGUAAGAUCUGCAUUGCUUCCAUUUGGUGCGAGCCAGUUCAACAACGAGAACAAUUUAGUAGACAUAAAAAGGAGAAGAAAUUUCUUCAGUUCAUUCUAUAUAUGUGUCAUCUUUGGUGUGAUUACUUCUGGGACAAUUAUAGUUUGGGUUCAGGAAAAUGUGAGCUGGGCUAUAGGAUAUGGAGUUGCCACUACAUGCAUAGGUCUUGCUUUGAUAGGAUUUCUGGUGGGGACACCAAUAUUCCAACAAGAUGAGCCUUGUGGUUCUCCAGUGAAGAGUAUUUUCCAGGUUAUUGUUGCCUCUUUUAGGAACAUGAGCUUGGAAGUACCUGCUGAUAGCUCUCUUCUGUAUGAGGUCAGGAGCAACCACGUACAAAGGACAAUACUUGCUCACUCCGAUGAUUUUAGGUACAUCUUUUUUCGUUACUUACCAUGAGACACUUGUAUAUAUGGUAUUUUUUUCUUGUUUCUCCUGAUCAUUUUUUAAAAUCUUCUUGAAGCAAUCAUGCCACUGGUGGUCAAUUGUUGAUUUCUUAAUGAUUUCUGGAGUACCCAUCAUAUAUAUACUUUCAGGAUGUUCAGUCUACAAAAUGUAUAUCUCUAUCUCAUGGAUCCCAUGAUUUGAACCUAGUAAUAAAUAACUGUUCCUGAAACAUGAAAACCAAUGAGAAUUACCUUUUCAUUUGGUUGGUGUUCCCAACUUCCCUUUCUAUUCUGCACUUAUUUAACUAUCUGUCUAAUUCCAUCAUUUUGUCUCAGGUUCUUAGAUAAGGCAGCAGUUAUUUCUGAUCCAAGCUUGGUGUAUGGAGGGUGUCGAAGCUCAUGGAGUUUAUGUACGGUUACUGAAGUUGAGGAACUGAAAAUACUUAUCCGCUUACUCCCAAUAUGGGUGACUGGAAUAUUCUUUGCUGCUGCGAUCUCUCAAAUGCACACCACUUUCAUUCAGCAGGGAGCUGUGAUGAACACCAAGAUUGGUUCCCUGUCCAUUCCACCAGCAUCCUUGUACUCAUUUGAAGUGAUAUGUGUCACGCUCUGGGUACUUUCUGUGAACAAAGUGCUUGUGCCGGCAACCAGAACGUAUUUUGCAAAUGGAGCAGAGCUCACACAGUUACAGAGGAUUGGAAUUGGUCGUUUCUUGAUGAUCUUUGCCAUGGCAAUGGCCGCACUUCUAGAAACCAAGAGGCUGCAGAGUGUUCAGGAGGGGGAACUGCUAAACAUUGUAUGGCAGCUUCCACAGUACUUCGUCAUUGCUGGGGCUGAGUGCUUCGCUGUCAUCACUCAGCUAGAGUUUUUCCAUGGCCAAGCGCCAGACUCCAUGAAGAGCAUAUUAACGGCAUUCGCGUUGCUCACCACUGCCCUUGGGAAUUACUUGAGCUCAGCUAUCAUCACCCUCAUUGCAGGGGUGACCAGGGUAUGGCAUAGUCCUGGAUGGAUACCGGAUGAUCUGAACAAGGGACACCUUGAUUACUACUACUGGUGUCUUACAGCCCUCUCGUUGGUGAAUUUUGUUGUGUAUCUGUAUUUUGCUAGUAAAUACAAAUUGAAGAAAGUUGUUAUCUGCUAAUACUACUUGUGAAAUAUCACCGAGUGUAACAUAUGAAAUGUUUAUUUUUAUUCUUAACAUGUAUAGCAGUAUAGGCCAUGGAAGGACCUUAUUUCCCCAACAUAUCGUCCCUUGUUUUUCUCGUAGCGAUGUGUGAAUGCUAGGAGAAAGAUACAUAUUGUCUGUAGUAACUAUUAAUUCUCUGUUCUUAUGCUGGAGGGAUCCGUUGAUUGCUUCAUUUAUAUACGAAUGUAAUACUGAUUUGCUGGUGAAAGAAGUUUGGUGUAAACAUAAUUUUGUUAAAGCAUCCAGGAUUUUGGAACAAAACCACUAUAUAAUUGAACUAUGGUAUGACCUGUUGGUGGGACGGUGCUGGUUAUUGAUCUUUAAGUUCCAUUUUUGUUUUUUAAUGAAGAUGAAAUUGGAGUUCCAUCUCGACCUCUCGAGUUGACAGGGAAGAUUUAGUUGAUUGCUUCUACGUUAUUUUAGUUUAGUCAUAAAUUAAACUUUUUCAACUUUAACUAAGUUUUUGGAAAAAUACAACAUCCACAACAUUGAAUUAGUUUUGUUAAAUCGAGGUUAAAUAUCUUACCCUCACAAAAACGUUAAAAAGUACUUCCUCUAUCCUUAUAGCUGUCGUUCUCGUUUUUCAAGAAAUAAUUUUGACUAAUUUAUAUAAAUUAUUAAUAUUUAUGGUGUAUAAUUAAUAUAAUUAAUAUUAUUAGAUAGAUCGUUGAAUUUAUUUUCAUAAUAAAUUUAUUUGGAGAUAUAAAUAUCGCUCGUAUUUUAUACAAAUCUAGUCAAACUUACAACGUAUAAGCAAAAAAUGACAGCUAUUGAGCAUGUCGAUAGUACACUUAUUUGUUAUUGUAGACCGACAUUUGUUAUUUGCUAUACUUAUUUGUUAUUUUUGUCAAUAGUAGCAAAACUUCAUCACUAACCAUAUAGUACUCUCCAUGAAGCCAUCCUGACCGUCCGAUCUCAGAUCGGCCCUUGACAUUACCCUUGACGCGUUUAGACCUCGGCAGCAGAGACCGCAGAACCGAACAUCGCAAGUCCCAAACCCUCCCCCGAUCUCCGCCGCUCCAAAAUGUGGCGCCGCCAGCUCUUCCGCCGCCUAUUCCCAUCUCCGGCCACCGGUGGCACCGCCGCGCCCCCUUCGCCUUUCCUGCGCCACCUAUCUACCUCAAGCACCCCGACCCCGGCCGCCUCCCUCGCCUCCUCCCUUGCGUCGGCGCUCACCGCGCUCUCCACGACCCCGCCGCCCGCCACCACCCCGGACGCCUACUUCUCGCUCCACUUCUCCGACGUGCGCCCCACCAACGCGCUCCUCGCCGAGGCGCUUGCGCUCUCCCCGCCCGCCACCUCCCGCGCCGCUGCCGAGCUCUUCCGCUUCCUCGUCCGCCGCCGCUCGCUCCACCCCUCCGACGGCGCGCUCGCGCCCGUCGUUCGCCACCUCGCUCGCCGCCGUGACUUCCCCGCCGUGCGCGCGCUCAUCCAGGAGUUCCCCACCGCUCUCGGGCCCGCCACGCUCGACGCCUAUCUUCAGCAGCUCGCCAGAGCCGGGCGACCGACGGACGCUGUAAAGGUGUUCGACGAAUUGCCGGAGCAACUCCGUAACCGCGAGGCUCUUACUUUGCUGGUCUCCGCCCUUUCUGCCGAGGGAUUCCCCUCGCACGCAGAGCGUGCUGCCAAGAAGGUCGCCAAUGAGAUCUUCCCGGAUGACAAUAUCUGCACUUUGUUGGUAUCUGGCUAUGCCAAUGCUGGUAAGCUCGACCAUGCACUCAGGUUGAUUGGUGAGACACGUAGGGGUGGGUUCCAGCCAGGAUUGGAUGCAUACAAUGCUGUUCUUGAUUGUGUGUGCCGGCUCUGUCGCAAGAAGGACCCACUGAGGAUGCCUAUGGAAGCUGAGAAGUUCUUAGUUGACAUGGAAGCCAAUGGCAUUCCCCGUGAUGCAGGGACAUUUCGGGUACUGAUCACAAAUUUCUGCAAGAUCCGUAAGACAGAGGAUGCCAUGAAUCUGUUCCGUUGUAUGGGUGAGUGGGGCUGCUCACCAGAUGCUGACACAUACUUGGUGCUCAUCAGGAGCUUGUACCAAGCUGCCCGGACUUCAGAGGGUGAUGAGAUGAUGACAUGGAUGCGGUCUGCAGGAUUUGGAGAUAAACUUGAUAGGAAGGCAUACUAUGGAUUCAUCAAGAUUUUAUGUGGGAUUGAUAGGGUUGAGCAUGCUCUCAAGGUAUUCCGUAUGAUGAAAGGUUAUGGCCAUGCUCCUGGAGUAAAAUCAUAUAGCUUGCUCAUUGAGAAGCUGGCUAGGCACAAUUUAGGGGAUCGUUCCAGUGCACUGUACAGGGAGGCAGUUGCACGUGGUGUACCUGUGGCUCAAGGAGAGUAUAGUAUUGACAAAAGGUAUGUCAAAGCAAAGAAGGAGAAGAAGGUGAAGAAGAGGCUGACUUUGCCGGAGAAGAUGAGAUUGAAGAGCAAGAGGUUAUACAAGCUCAGAAUGAGCUUUGUCAAGAAGCCCAAGCGUCGAAUGGUCCGCGUUUAAGCAUAAUUUUUGGUAUUCUCAUAGCCAUGCUGAUUUCAUUACUCGUUCGUAAUACUAUCUUUGCUUCAGCAUUUGCCACAUCGAUGGUGAUCUUUUCUAAGAACCAGUUUGUCAUUCUUUGUUAAUCAUUUUGUCCUGUGCUGCUGCCACUAUAUCUUCAUCACACUUUAAUUGUAGAAGCACAAUAAAAUCAGUGUGAUGCUGAAUAUUGCUGUAAAGUCAAGAAAAUCUAGGAAGAAAGUUUUUUUUUUGAAUGGGGGAAGUUAGCAUGUAUUAGUCUAAAUUGGGUAGUUUCACUUGGAUUUUUCCGAUCCAGUAACGACUAACCAUUAGAUCAUCGUUAUAACAUGUAAAUGAGUGUAGUUUCUUAGGAAUUUUUAGGUGUCCUCAACAUUGCUUUGCCAUAUUUUUUUUUUGUCAAACUGGCUAUUUUGUUGUUUGUUUAAUCCUCUGAAGCAGUUGCCUACAUAAUAAAUAUUAAAUAUUGGCACAAUAAAAAAGAAUCGUCUGUUCUUCUGUGUGUGUCUUGGUGUGUUCUACUUUAAGUUCUCUUCUUAAUGCAAUGACAUGCAGCUCGCCUGCGUAUUUGACAAAAAAAUGAUUUGUGGUCAGAGGCAGAUACUUGGUAAAAUGAAUACUAGAAAUUUCAUGCAAACCAAGAUGCACUACUUACAAACCAAGAUCCAACUUUCUGUAUUGUAUCGUAUAUGAGCUUGACUUACAAAUUUGGCUUCUUACCAUCCAUUGUUGAUCAUAUGGAAUAUGAUGGUCAUGCAACAUCUUCCUUGCUCUUAAGUUUGAGCAUCUUUUAUGGAAUUGUUUAGUGUCCAACAUUUACCAUUGCUUGUCAAGUUGUGAGCCCUCAACACAUAUGUGUAACUGUUUGGUAGAGGCAACACCGCAACACUACUGUGGGCUCACUGGUGGCUGAAGUUACAAGAUAAAUGGAAACCAUAUAAUAUGCUAGGGGCCACUUUCAUUAUCAGUGAUUUUCCCAAUCAUCUCAUCUGUUAGAUUCCAGUUUGACCCAAUUUUGUGCACACAAAAUGAUGCCUCACACUGAGAAAUCGAAUAAAUGUUUGUGCUUUUUGCUGAAAAUGUUCUCUUUUGUAAACUGCCUGAACGUCUUUCUGCAACUGUGGUACUAAUGGUUUGUAAUCAUGUAUCAGUUUCGUUGGAGCGGAUGAUCACGGGAAUGGACACCACCAGAUCCAGUUAUAACUUGGAAGAUCAGAAAAUUGUUGUCCCUGAAUUGUGGCUAUGCAACAUCAUUUUUCAAAGGCGAGGGCUCUGUAUGGUUUCACUUUUUUUUUGGUUGAUGGGCUGGUGACUCCGGUAUGUUUGAUGCAAUAGCACCAAUAAUGUAUCAUUUCACUUAAUUUGAUUUACACUUCUGGUGAUGUUCUGUACACCCUAGUUUUUCAUAGAAAGCAUUGGAAGUCUGCCACAGCUCGUCCAAAACUAACUGGACCACCUCUUGCUGAAGAAGUUUGCUGUUUCCCGGUUUCCCCCACUUGUAUGAGCGAAAUUGUAUUCCCCCACUUGUUUAGAUGCACCAAAAAAACCAAAACUUUACAAGAUUUUCCGUCACAUUAAAUUUUGCGGCACAUGCAUGGAACAUUAAAUAUAGAUAAAAAAAUAACUAAUUGCAUAGUUUAUCUGUAAAUCACGAGACGAAUCUUUUUAAGUCUAGUUACUCCAUGAGUGGACAAUGUUUGUCAAAUAAAAACGAAAGUGCUACAGUGUCAAAAUCCAAAAACAAGGCCUAAGUGGAUGUGACAAUUGAGACUUCUACGUGAGCAUCAAUUUUCCUCACUGAAAAAGUGACAAUCAAUAGGUUUAUGUUUCUCCACACCUGCUUAAGUAUGAGCCGCACGUGCGCGGCAGCUGGACAGAUGGGCGCAACCAAAAAAAGCUCAAGGAUAAAGCUACAUCUGCAGUAGUAGAGUGGAACUGUGGAAGGCUAGGCUUCACAGGCGCACAGAAGGGCAAAGGAGACUGCAAUUGGAAAAAAAAAUGAGGAGGGCAGGAGAAGCCCGCACACAACACAAUUGACAAUCCGUAGCAGAGAAGUGCAGAGGAGAAUUCAGCUCAAACCCAAGGUGUCGUCGCCUUCGUCCUCUUCCUCCUCCUGAUGUCGACGUCCACCCUUUUUGGUAUUAUUAAAUAUAUACAAACUGCCAGCAGUUCUGUACACAAUACGUUGAGUGGAAAGAUCGUACGCAGUAAUGUUGUAGUACAGACUGAGCAUCACGGGGGCCGGCCGAUUCGUCUUCACCGAGCUUGAGACGUAGCGUCACGGCCGAGGGCGUAUCGAGAGCCGUUAGAGAUCGCGAGCUCGGCCACCUGUGAGGUUGUGAGGUACUGAGGUCUCUCUGUUUUCUCGCUCUCCUCGAAGUGGCUGGCACGCUUGCGGCGGGACACAUCGGCAGCCACGCCGCGCUAAAGCUCCUGCUCACGGGCUUCCGUCACAUCGUCGUUGACACGUGAGCCUCCUCGACGACGAUGAUCCCUCCGUCUCGUCGCGAUUUGGGGCGCCGUCCCUCACCUCACCUCUGGACACCUCACAAGCCCGUCUUCGGUGACCGUAAUGCCACCUGGAAAAGCGGCCUGGCUGCCGGUGGGUGCGGGCGGCGUCACGGGCUCACGGCCGUCGUCAGCCCGUCACACACGCUAGCACAGCUACUGCCUGGGAAAGGGGUUCGUUGUUGGCACCAUGGCAGCUCUGGUCGUCUUCCCGGUGGACAAAAACCGCGUUUUUCCACGGGCCACCGUCCCCAACAUUCGUCGAUUCCAACCCCGCCUCGCCUCCUCCUCCUCCUCUCCCUCUCCUCCGUGUUUUCAAUGGUCAAAACCCACGCACCUCACCUCCCCCGCAGUCGUCUUUUCCCUCCCCCGACCCGCGUUUCUUUAUAUUUCCCCCCAAUUCCACCACCACCAACCUCCUCUUCCGCCCUCCUCUCCCACCACCGCCCCCCCCGUCGCCUGCUGUUCCAUGAAGGACAACUAAUCCAUCCAUCCAUCCAUCCAUCGCUCAGCUAUGGCGCAGCUCGCGGUGCGGUCACUGCUGCUGUGCUUGCUCCUGGUCUCGCCAGCUGCGGCUUCGCCGGGUAUCGCGAAGCUCAACUCGUCGUCGUCCCUCUUUGGCAUCGAGUUCCCGCCGUUCAACACCGCCGUCGCCGUCACCGGCUGCGGCAGCAAGCUGGCUGCAGCUGAGGAGGCGGUGGCUGAGCAGAAGCAGCCGGCGAGCCUGUCCCCGUCGCUGAAGCUGCACAUGAACCGCCGCGCUGCCGAGGGGGGCAGGACACGGAAAGAGUCCGUUUUAGAUUUGGCCGAUAAGGACGCCGUCCGCAUCGAGACGAUGCACCGGAGAGCGGCGCGCUCCGGCGGGGACCGGACGCCGGCGUCUCCGUCUUCGUCUCCGCGGCGGGCGCUGUCGGAGCGGAUGGUGGCGACGGUGGAGUCCGGCGUGGCGGUUGGGUCCGGCGAGUACCUGAUGGACGUCUACGUCGGCACGCCGCCGCGGCGUUUCCGGAUGAUCAUGGACACCGGCAGCGACCUCAACUGGCUGCAGUGCGCGCCGUGCCUGGACUGCUUCGACCAGGUUGGCCCCGUGUUCGACCCCGCCGCGUCCUCCUCCUACCGCAACGUCACCUGCGGCGACCAGCGCUGCGGCCUCGUGGCGCCGCCCGAGCCACCAAGGGCGUGCCGCCGCCCCGGGGAGGACUCCUGCCCCUACUACUACUGGUACGGGGACCAGUCCAACACCACCGGCGACCUGGCCCUGGAGUCCUUCACGGUCAACCUCACGGCCCCCGGCGCGUCUCGCCGCGUGGACGACGUCGUGUUCGGGUGCGGCCACUGGAACCGCGGCCUCUUCCACGGCGCGGCGGGCCUGCUGGGCCUCGGCCGUGGCCCGCUGUCGUUCGCGUCCCAGCUCCGCGCCGUGUACGGCCACACCUUCUCCUACUGCCUGGUGGACCACGGCAGCGACGUCGCUAGCAAGGUGGUGUUCGGGGAGGACGACGCGCUGGCGCUGGCGGCGGCGCACCCGCAGCUCAACUACACGGCGUUCGCGCCCGCGUCGUCGCCGGCGGACACGUUCUACUACGUGAAGCUCAAGGGCGUGCUGGUGGGCGGCGAGCUGCUCAACAUCAGCUCCGACACGUGGGGUGUGGGCGAGGGCGAGGGCGGAUCCGGCGGCACCAUCAUCGACUCCGGCACCACGCUGAGCUACUUCGUGGAGCCGGCGUACCAGGUGAUCCGGCAAGCCUUCAUCGAUCGCAUGGGCAGGUCGUACCCUCUGAUCCCGGACUUCCCGGUGCUGAGCCCGUGCUACAACGUGUCUGGCGUGGACCGGCCGGAGGUGCCGGAGCUGUCGCUGUUGUUCGCCGACGGCGCCGUGUGGGACUUCCCCGCCGAGAACUACUUCAUCCGGCUGGACCCGGACGGCAUCAUGUGCCUGGCGGUCCUGGGCACGCCGCGGACCGGCAUGUCCAUCAUCGGUAACUUCCAGCAGCAGAACUUCCACGUCGUCUACGACCUGAAGAACAACCGGCUGGGCUUCGCGCCGCGGCGGUGCGCCGAGGUGUAGCCGCCGGCGAGGCCUGCCUGAGAGGACCAACGAUUCGAACUCGGUCCUCGGUUUGAUUGAUUGGAUUGGGAGGCAAAUUGGGUGUAGAAAUUUUCGGUCGGUGGCACGUACGCAAAGCUCUAGCACAAAGUUUUUUUGUUGUUGUUGCACUUAUUAUCUCCAAGGAGAGAAGGUUAGGAAUAUUGUAGUACUAGGAUCAUGUCCGGGAAAAUACCUAUCCUGGCCCCGUGUCAAUGCCCAUUUGGUCACUUGAAUUGAAUUAUAGAAAUUGUAAUUAUAAGUUGUACAUCAAGAAUGCAUAGUGCACACAAACUUUUUUUUUCUUUCAAGUAAUUGCUCACGAACAUGUGAUGUACAACAACAGAAUAGAUUUCAUCUUUAAGAAGAGCAUGCUGCAUGCCCAGGUUGUUCUUGUAUCGAGUAGAUAUUUCAAAACUAUCUAGAGUCCAAAGAACUUGAUAAAUAAAUUCUUAUGGAGCCUGUGUAAUUUUCUUCUUCCAUUUGGUGCAGUUGAUAAAUAAAUCCUUCCGUAGCCUGUGCAAUUUUCUUUUCUCAUUUGGUGCAAUUAGUGUUGUCAAUAGUACCUGCAUGUGUUCAAAAAUAAAUCCUUCACUGUUGAGGUCGUACAAGGUUUUCUUCAAAGACCAGGCAACUCUUUCAACCCUAGAAAAUUCAUCAAGUGCUUGCUGACGAGAGCAUUGUAAGCAGAGAUGCCAACGUCAGUUCACACAAGGGUAAAGGGAUGUGAGUCCUCUCUAUGAGAUUGCUCACAAGAGACUGAAACUUAUGUCUGAUCAAGGUCAUGUUGAAGUGCUUUCCACUAGAAGUAUCAACAAUGAUAAAUGGGACAUAGAUUUCAGUCUGCAUAGUGGAGGAAAACUAAACCUUAGCCUUCUCAGUAGCUUCCUUGUGCCUUUGCAGUGCUAACUUGUCCUCGCUCAUAGUCAAGCAAUGCACCAUAAAAAUCUGCGCCACCAACGAAAGUAUCAACAUUGGUUGCCUUGACCUAAAAAGGUGACGAAAUUAAGAAUUACAACAUCUAUCUCAACACCUGCAUAGAGAAUCUGUACAAGAUAUGAGAAGUAGAUUACCUCAACACUCCAUUGAUAACUCAACAAUUGACACAUUCAGAGGUACAUUCAGAAGGUACAUGCACCGAACCCUGGUGUUGGCAAUAUGUUAUGGUCUUUUUAAAAGUAGAGACUUUUUUUUUGAAAGACACUAUGCCAGAGCACUUGUGCUUACUGCCGAAUCUACUAGCCAUUUAACAAUGUUUUUCUUUCAUAACAAAUCAGCGAAUAAUACUUUCAGUCAUGACUUAUCAGCUAAACAAACAGGCUUAGAUCAAACCGUUCAAGGCAGCAGCAAAGCAUGCACACAACAUUAGUAUCCUCGUAAAAAGUUACCUUCCAUGUAGGAGAGCUACCAGUGAAGCUAAGGCCUUGUUUAGUUCGCAAAAACUUUUGGUUCGAAAUACUGUAGUACUUUCGUUUUUAUUUGACAAAUAUUGUCUAAUUAUAGAGUAACUAGACUCAAAAGAUUCAUCUCGCGGUUUACAGACAAAUUGUGUAUUUAGUUUUUAUUUUCAUCUAUAUUUAAUACUCCAUGCAUGUGUCGCAAGAUUCGAUGUGACGAAGAAUCUUGAAAAUUUUUUGAGUUUUUGGAUGAACUGAAAAGGCCUAACCUAGGCACACUGCCAUCUUCUGUCCCUUUGGUUCCACCAUUAUCCCUGAAUCUUUGGCUUUGUUUAGUUCACGAAAAAUUUUGGGUUUUAAUACGGUAGCACUUUCGGUUUCACUUGACAAUUAUUAUUCAAUUAUAGACUAACUAGACUUAAAAGAUUCAACAUCAAAUGGAGUUGCACAUCCGUUGGACUUUAAUUUUUGCCAUAAAAAUAUAAAAAUAACCUAGAUAACAUAGAUAACAUAUCUAUUGGAGUUGCUCUAAAGUUCCAAACACAUUAACUAAAAGAAACUAAAAUAGUUUAGUUCCAUUAGUCACUUAAGAAUAGCUAAAAUAAUAUAAUUUUAGAAUUUAGCAACGGUAACCAGAGCCUUAGUUAAAUUUGAACUAGUUUGACUCACGCGAUUUCUGUAAUUGUUUCUGCUGCUUUGGCGUGCCCCCCUCCCGCGCCGCUGCCGAUCUCUUUCGCUUCCCCGUCCGCCGCCGCUCGCUCCACCCCUCCGACGGCGCGCUCGCCACCUCGCCCGCCGCCGCGACUUACCCGCUGCGCGCGCGCGCAUUCAGGAGUUUCCCACCGCUCUCGGGCCCGUCACGCUCGACGCCUAUCUCCAGCAGCUCGCUAGAGCCGGGCGCCUAACGGACGCUGUCAAAGUGUUCGACGAAUUGCCGGUGCAGUUCCGUAACCAUGACACUUUGCUGGUCUCCUCGCUUUCUGCCGGGAGCUACCCCUUGCACGCAGAGCGUGCUGCGAAGAAGGUCGCCAACGAGAUCUUCCCGGAUGACAAUAUCUGUACUUUGCUGGUAUCUGGCCAAUAUGCUGGUAAGCUCGACCGUGCACUAAGGUUGGUUGGUGAGACAUGUAGAGGUCGGUUGCAGCCAGGAUUGUAUGUACACAUUGCUGUUCUUGGUUGUGUCUGCCGGCUCUGUCACAAGGACCCACUGAGGAUGCCCAUGGAAGCAGAUAAGUUCUUAGUUGACAUGGAAGCCAAUGGCAUUCCCCGUGAUGCAGGGACAUUUCGGGUUCUUAUCACAAUUUUUUUCAAGAUCCACAAGACAGAGGAUGCCAUGAAUCUGUUCCAGCAUACUAUAGGUGAGUGGGACUGCUCAGAGGAGCUGAGAGCCUGAGACGUACUUGGUGCUCAUCAGCAGCUUGUACCAAGCUGCUCGAACUUCAGAGGGGGAUGAGAUGAUGACAUCGUUGUGGUAAGGAUUUGGAGAUAAACUUGAUAGGAAGGCAUAUUGCGGAUUCAUCAAGAUCUUAUGUGGGAUUGAGAGGGUUGAACAUGCUAUUCUGUAUGGUGAAAGGUUAUGGGCGUGCUCCUGGAGUAAAAUCAUAUAGCUUGCUCAUUGAGAAGCUGGCUGGGCACAAUUUAGGGGAUCGUUCCAAUGCACUGUUCAGGGAGGCCAUUGCACGUGGUGUAGCUGUGCAGAAUGAGAGUAUAAAUUGACAAAAGGUAUGUUAAGGCAAAGGAGGAGUGAAGAAAAGGCUGACUCUGCCACAGAAGAUGAGAUUGAAGAGCAAGAGGUUAUACAAGCUCAGAAUGAGCUUUGUCAAGAAGCCCAAGCGUCGAAUGCUCCAGGCUUAAGCAGAAUUUGGGUAUUCCCAUAGUCAUGCUGAUUUCAUUACUCGUUCAUAAAUCAUAAUACUAUCUUUGCUUCAGCAUUUGCCAUGUCGAUCGUGAUCUUUUCUGAGAAUCAGUUUGUCAUUCUUUGUUAAUCAUUUUAUCCUGCGCUACUGUCACUAUAUCUUACUUCAUCACACUUGAAUUAUAGAAGCACAAUAAAAUCAUUUCCCCCCAAAGGUUCUAGUAUGCAGAUUCAAAACUCUGUUUAGAAUAUUGGCACAUUCAAAAACGAUUUAUAAGGAAAAACCUAGUUUCUCCAUGAAUGUGUUUAGGAGUAUUGUUUUACACCAUUAUAGUAAGAUGCUUAUGAAAAGCCUAGUUUCUCCAUGAAUGUGUAUAAGACAAGUUAUAAGGAAAAACGUACCAGUAGAUGUAUCAGUGUGAUGCUGAAUAUGCUGUGAAGUCAAGAAAAUCUAGGAAGAAUGUUCUUUUGGGGAUGAGGGAAGUUAGCAUGUAUUUGUCUAAAUUGGGUAGUUUCACUUGAAUUUUGUUGCUGAGCUCGUAUCAAUUUUUUCUGAUCCAGUAACCACUAACCAGUAGAUCAUCGUUAUAACAUGGAAAUGAGUGUAGUUUCUUAGGAAAUUUUAGGUGCCCCAAACAUUGCUUUGUCAUGUUAUUUUUGUCAAACUGGCUAUUUUGUUAUUUGUUUAAUCCUCUGUAGUAGUUGCAUAGAUAAUAAAUAUUAAAUAUUGGCAUAUUCAAAACAAUCUGUGGUAAUCCGUGCAUCUGUGUGUGUGUGGGUGUGUUCUACUUUAAGUUCUCUUCUUCUUAAUGCAAUGAUAUGUAGCUCUCCUGCGUUUCGAGAAAAAAAGAGAUUUUUUGUCAAAUGCAGAUGCUUGGUAAAAUGGAUACUAGAAAUUUCAUGAAAACCACGAUGCACUGUUUACAAUCACCAAAAUUCCUGGAUCACUCCUUUGUUAGGACUGGAUGAUGAUAGAAUGUGUACGUAUAUAUCAUAUAUGCAAGCCUAUACUUGAGUAUCAAAAGCUUAGUUUGGUUUCAUGUUCCUUGUCCAAUAUUACCUGACUCUCUGCCUCCACAAAGCUAGUAGAAACUGGAUUUUUUUUGUUCCUCUUCAUUUAGAGCAGUCCAGUCUGCUGCAGAAUAGCUUCAUGGGAACAAUGCAGCUAUAUUUGUUUUAGAAAAUCAAAUUUUUUACUUUAUGGACCUUUGACUAUGAAAGUAAAGCUGCUUUGCUCAGGUUCUCACACCGGCCUGUGAAAUACGAGUUCCAAAUAACUUUCUGUUAUGUGUUGCUAAGGUUGCACUGAUACAAAGUUUCUUACUACCAUGCUGGCGUUUUGUUUUGUUACAUAUAGGCAUGACCAGAGCAUACUCCAUAUUAUAGGAGUGUUGGGUUGUAUCCAUUUUUUAAGCUCCCCUACGGCACCAGAGCAUAUACAGCAUAGCAGAUUAGAAUGUACUUAGCCCCAUCACUACAAGUCUACAUGUAGGCUCCUCCAACUUUCUGUAUUGUAUCAUAUCAUGAGCUUGACUUACAAAUUUGGCUUCUUACCAUCCAGUGUUUAACAUAUGGAAUAUGCUCUGGCCACGCAACAUCUUCCUUGCUCUUAAGUUUGAUCAUCCUUUUAGUGUCGAACAUAAUUCUCAUGUUUGUGAAGUUGCAAGUGCUCAACACAUACUCCUAUGUGUGACUGUUUUGGCUGAAGUUACAAGAUACUCCCUCCGUCUCAAAAUAGAAGGCGUAACUGUUUUUUUCUAAUGUCCUAGCAUAUAAGGCGCAGCUCUUUAAUCCAAUAGUUCACACGCAUGCAGCCAUGCAAUAUUUACUGCACCUGCACAGUUUCUCACCUUUCUAUUCACGCUAAUUUAAGUUAUUGUCUUUCUCUCUCUAGUGGGGACUGGUUGGCCUGCACUUAGCAUUUAGUUGAGCGCUGGUCUCCGUACACAUGUUACAAGAACCAAAGUAUCAAUUGUGAGAGAGAUCAAAAAUUAAAACUUUUCUUGGUCUGCGCACAUAAGGCAAUUGCGCCUUCUAUCCUGAGACGGAGGGAGUAAAUGGAUAAUGUACUAGAGGCCACUAUCAUUAUCAGUGAUCUUACCAGUCAUCUCAUCUGUUAGAUUCCAGUUUGACCUAAUUUUCUGCCCGCAACAUGAUGCCUCUGCACCGAGAAAUUAAGGAUUUAAAAGUUUGUGCUUUUUGCCCAAAAUGUUUUCUUUUGUAAACUGCCUGCACAUCUUUCUGCAAUUGCGGUAGUAAUGAUUUGUAACCAUGUAUCAGUUUGGUUGGAGCGGACGAUCAUGGGAAUGGACACCACCAGAUCCAAAUCAAGAUCAGAAAAUGGUUGUCCCUGAAUUGUGUCUAUCCUUGUGAGUGGCUAUGCAACAUCAUUUUUGGAAUGCUGAGGGCUCCGUAUGGUUUCACUUUUGGGUUGAUGGUCUGGUGACUCCAGUAAUGUCAUUACAACACGAAUAAUGUACCAUUUCACUUCAUUUAAUUGUACUGUUUCUAAUAGAAAAGCAUUGGAACUCUGCAACAACUCGUCCAAAACUAAUUGGACCACCUCUUGCUGAAGAAGCUUGCUGUUUACUGAUUGCCCCCACUUUUAUGAGCGAAAAUGUAUGUUUCAAUGUUCUCGAGUGCUAAUACAUGAACAUCAAUUUUCACUCACUGACAAAGUGGCAAUCGAAGAGUUUUUGUUUCUCCACACCUGCUUGAUUCCUGCGCGUCACAUCACGGUGCACUCAUGCAGAGAGACCCGUUCCUUUCCGAGAUUUCGAUCAGGUAGGUUAGGUAUGACCCUCUUCUUUUGUAGUAUUGUAUGCGACUUUAUUUAUACACUGUACCUGGUUUGCGUGCACUGGUUCCUCUUUUUGUGAGCUCUCAUUUCAUAAACCAAAUCUCGGAUCAAGCUGCUAUCAUCCACACCAUUAUAGAGGGUCUCUCUCUCUCUCUCUCGAUAACAUAAAGUAUGUGCUUCAGGGACGACCCUUUGGCACAGUCUCAUCUCCGGUGCACCCAGUCCUUCAGUGAGUGGCGACCGAAAAAGAUAUUUGGAAAAGACAAGAAAAUCGAAAAAAAAUUCGUUUUCACCUGUAUAUAUAAAAAAAAAUUGGCACCCAACGGGUCCCCUACUGGAAUUGCUGAUGUGUGAUUUCUUUUUCACCGUUACGCAAUCUGAAAAAAAAAAGAAAAUCAAAUCUUUCACGGUUUGUGCAAGAUGCUUCAGGCGUGCUGCUGCUGGGUGUGCAAGUGCAAAUCUAGGGGAGGAACAAUAACGAGCACGGGGUUCGCCCAAAUCUGUCGAUUUUUUAGCCGCUGCAGCGAAGAAUUUGACAGGCCACCAACCUUGGACCCUGCCCCAUUGUACCCCUGAUCGCCUCAGGUAGCUAUUUCCGUUUUUCCGUUUCCUCCCUCCCGGGACGCGGAAUGGACGGACGGACGGACAGCAGUGGAGGCGGUGACACUGACAGCGAUGGGUACGGCCCAGAAUUAUUGGGGGUCGCGCAUCACGUCCUUUCCGGCGCGAUCUCUCUCCUCCGUCUCUCUCUUAUCAGAAACAGGCUCCGGCGAUCGGCGUGCCCCUGACCUAAAAACACGCCAUGAUUCGCCGCUAUCUUGCUGCUGUUCCUCUGUUGGGUGGUGACAGAUGACUGGUUGUUGAGCCUCCGUUUCCAGAACCAGAAACUGCAAGCCGCAUUUGCGUGAUGCCACCAGGCCUUGCAUUGCAAUUUGCUAUCAGAUAAUCGGAUGGAUAUGGAUGGAAGGGAAGAUGACAGCUCUCAUGCUGUGAGCUACACGGAAGCUUGAGGAUGACACGUCGGUCAAUAUCUCCACCUCUGUUCAUCUGCAACUUCUGAUUGGCGGAGCCACGUAGCCUAGGGGAAUGCCGGUUUGACACCUGGAACGGUCCAUUUUCGUGAUCCCAAACUGUAUAAUACUUCAGCUACUGUCUUAAGAUGAGAUGGCCUCAUCUUAUCUCCAAGGACGAAGGGCGGCAUGUCAAAGGGAAGGGCCCAAUCUGAUGAGGCAUAUGGUGGUGUGGCAUCUUUUCCUUGAUGCCUUGUGAUCAACUCAUCUGGAAAAACAAGCAAGUAAAGUACCUAUGCAAAUUGCAACUGAUGGCUUCUUUAUUUGUCCAUACUCCCUUUGUACCAAAUUAUAAGUCAAAUACAUAAAUUUGUUAUGCACCUAGAUAUCAGCAGGGGCGUCCCAGAGCCCGUGCGGGCCGUACGACCGAACUGGACCCUAAAAUUUAUGGGCUCCAACAUUUACUAAGGGUUCUAAGUAUAUAUAUAAUAAUUUUAGGUUUCUUUUAAUUAGUAAAUUAGUCACAAACUCAAUAAACAUGGCCUGCUACUUCCCUCGAGACAAAGCACAUUGAGUCCAUGAUCGUGAGUUAGAAAAGUCUACGGCCAGUAAUUCUUCUUCACAUAAGUUUAUAACCCUUUAUGAGUUUGUGGUUUCAUCUUUUGGACCUGUUCCUCGCCCUUGGUGUUAUUCGUCGCUCAAGAGUCUGAGACCUAGUAGCAAUUCUAGACGACGAGUCCCAGAUUAGGACACCAAACGGAGAUCAUUGUCCGGUAUAAAUUCCAUGUACAAUCUCUAUUUUAUUUAGUUAAUCUUUUAUAUAUUGCCUUUAUAAUAUAUUAAUAUUAUAUUUUUUAUAUUUUAAUAAUAGAUGGUAGACCUUCACUUGUUUUGAACCGGGACGCCCCUGAUAUCAGUCUCGGAUUCUUAAAAACUCGUUUUGUCUCUAGUUUCUAAAACUUGGAUUCUGAGCCAAAAAAAAACCUAGUGAGAGUGUUUAGAUCCUCCGGUUUUUAAAAAUCUGACUUCAUUUAUCGCUCUAUGGGUAACAAGCUGGCAAAAGCUAACAACUUUCUGGUUUUUAAGAAUGUGACAAAAACUAACAGAAAAAAACUGACUUGUUUAGACCCCACCCACUAUUUGGAAACUAGAUUAUCUGGAGGGAUCCAAACAAGAUUCAUGUCUAGAUACAUGACAAAUAUUACGUCUAGAUACAUGGCAACACUAAUGUACCUAGAAAAAUAAAAUAACUAAUAAUUUAAAGCAGAGGGAGUAUUUCCUUCUGUUAAUGCGAAUUCGAGGCGAGGUAGGUAGGUAGGCAGACAUGAACACAGCACAACUGCUCGUAGUAAUUUAGGCCUUGUUGAGUUGAGAGAAUUUUUUGGUUUUGGCUACUGUAGCACUUUCGUUUGUUUGUGACAAAUAUUGUCCAAUCAUGGACUAACUAGACUCAAAAGAUUCAGCUCGCGAAUUACAGGUAAACUGUGUAAUCAGUAUUUGUUUUUGUCUAUAUUUAGUACUUCAUGCAUGUGCCACAAGAUUCGAUGUGACGUGAAAUCUUGAAAUUUUUUAGGAACUAAACAAUGCCUUACACUUUGGGAUCAUGAAGCAAGCGGUGGCGGCCACAUUGUACUAGCUGCACUGCAAGCAACUGCGGGGUGCGCGUAAAGAUCUGGGGUAGGGUAGCAUCAAAGGCAUGUUUGAUGGAUGGAUGGACCUCGCUCGCUCGCUCCCUCCAUCUCCAUGGUCCAUGCAUGCUGCCAUCUGCAUUUCUGCAAUACAAUGCCUCCUCUUCCCCAUCCUCUGCGUCAGUUGCAGAUGAAGACAGCAGCCCAAUCGUUUUCUCCAAAAAGAUGAGGAGGACCGCAGUCGCCCGCUGCAACUUGCGUGGGUUCUCUAUCAUCGGCUCGAUGCCAACUGACAAAAGCCCCCUUCUUCUAAUCUACCCCACGGUAGAUUCCGUUACUGAAAGCCACUAAGUCCAAGCGCAGGUGAAUGGAAACGCCCGAUGUUUAUUGCAGGAAGGAAGCUUAAUGAACAAUCUUUAAUUAAUAAUAAUCUUAUAAUCUACCAGGAACAGGCAGCCAGGCAGGCAGGUGGGGAAGCUGGGUUAGGAUAAGUACGAGAGGGCAAGCCGCACGUGCGGGGCAGCUCGACAGAUGGACGCAACCAAAAUUUAAUCAUCUCCGGGAACACAAAGAUAAAAGCCACACAUCUGCAGUGGUGGAGUGGAAGGCUUCACAGGCCCAGAGGAAAAGGGCGAAGGAGGGAGAUGGGAUUGGAAUUGGAAUAAAAAAAAAGGAAGAGAGCAGGAGAAGCGCGCGCACAACACAAUCCGCAGGCCGCAGCAGAGGAGUGAGUGCAGAGGAGACAUUCAGAUCAAACCCAAGGUGUCGCCUUCUUCCUCUUCCCCCUCCUCCUGAUAUCGACGUCCACCCUCUCCUCGAUUUCCUUUUCCGGGUUUUAAAUAUAAAUCGCCAGCAAUUCUGUACGCAAUACGUUGAGUGCGAAAGAUCCUACGCAGUAUAUGCGUAUGUAUGUGUGUGUGCGUCUGCGCUUCCUUGCUUCCCCUGCCUUCUUUUAUUCUCCUCUCCUUUGUUCGCUUGCGGGCUUGCGGCUUCGGGAAGGAGGAGAGGACGAGGGGCGGGCGGGUGGGCGGGCGAAUGCACAGUUCCGGUGAGUUCUUGGAAUCCGACCCGGCUCUUCUUGAUUCGUUUCCGCGGCCGUGAUCUUAGGGUUGGUUCUUGGUUUGGGCGCUGCUCGAGGCGGAAACACGAUUUUAUCCGGCGCGCAGACGCCUCGAAGCUCGAACUGCGAUUCUAACUCUCACUCGUGCUGUCGUGUGUUCUUGGCACUGCCUGGGACAACAUUGGCUCCAAAAUGCGGCCGAAUUGUUGGUGUUUUUUGGAGUGUGGUUUUGUUGCUGGGAAGGGGUUUUAGGGAAUGCGGCUAAGGUGCGCGCGUUUUAGUCCAUCAGAGACUGGAAUUCUUGGGGCGGACGGACCCGGAGUUGCGCAUUCUUGAUCCCGCUGCUUUCGCCCGCCAAACAAUGAUGCGGCCGCCAUGGCCUUAUCCGAUUUCUUUAGGGUUCUUUUCCGUCGGGAGAAAGUACGCGAGAAAGUGGGGCCAAAGGGAGCAGCUUUUUACCAGUCUUCAGCAUCUACUACAAUGGAUUGUUCGCCCGCAGUGCUUCUGCUUCUUUUUCACUUUUUUUGGGCAGUAAAGUAGUAUUUGGGUGCUUUUGUUGGGAUUGUAAAAAAUAAAGAUCGGAAUCUUUGAACUGUUCUCAACUCAAAUGAUGGUUGCUAGAGCUUUCAGUUGCAAUUGCUCUGUUUCUUAUUGAUCUUUCCUCAGCUGUGGUCCAGACUCCAGAUUUCUUCAGCUUUCUCUAUCCCUUGAGCACAAAAAGAAAGGCAGCUUCUCUUCUUUCAUUUUCAAUUUUAUUAUGAUCUUUGAUUGAGUUGAUGUUACUGCUUGUGCAAUUCCCGUGUAUAAUGCUAAAGAGUUUGUUUCUUCUAUACCAGUUUAGAGCUUCUGUUUUGACGACGCUUGAAACUUAGUGAAGAUCAUUGUCAUGCUUCCCGUGUGCAGCCUUUUCAUAUGAGGUCAAUUGCAGCUGAAUGUUGAAUGGGUCUUUUUGCUGAGAUGAUCGUGAAAUGAUUUAUGCGAUAGUCUGUUGGACGUCUAAUCAUGGUUAGGAUUGGGUUCCGAGGCUUAUCUAUUAAUUUGCUAUAGGCAGCCAGUAAGAUUUCUGUAUACAACAGCAAGAGAUUUCCCUUGCUCUAAAUUUGUACUGAAAUGUCAAAGACAUGAUUAUUAGUUAAAGCAAUAAUAGAUACCCCAAGUUCCAAUCUUCUUUCUUGUGGGCUUUUUUUAUUCAAUCUAGCUAGAUUUCUGUCACAGUCAUACUACACAGCAAAUUUAUGAUCCCCAAAUUGACGUGAUGCAAUCAUACAUGUUCAGUUUUUUAGGUGCUUUGUAGAAAACUUAGUCUUUUGUGGCCUUUAGGCGAGUUCUACAAAAUGUAGUACCUUUUUAAUCAUUUAAUAUAACUUGCAAGUUGGUGUUUUUAUUGUUGGUUCUGUUGGAAAUGAUUAGAAGCAAAACAUAAGUUGUAAAAACAUAUUCAGAAACUCUACUACGCGCGCGAUGGGUCGCUCGAUUGGGAAGCAUGCAACCCGUCACCCUCGUCGCGCUCGCCUCCUCCUCCCCCCCCCCCCCCCCCCCCCCCGAGCUGUUCGCUGAUCUAUUGUGAGAAAAAUACUGUUGGCUGGCAAAAAAAAGUACGGCUAUAAGACAAGCGAACUUGGCUAGCAGGAGAAUAUGGCUGAAAUUACUUUCCACUGAUUCUUUUUGCAGGAGAAUAUGGCUGAAAUUACUUUCAUUGCUUAUUUGCCACUGAUUCUCUUUGCAGGAGAAUAUUGGUGAAACAAUAACUUGACAUAGAGUUCUAGACCAAAGAAGCAAUGGAAAGGGAAUCGUCUACCACAUAUGAGCCAAAAAGGAACUGUGAAAUAAGGGUUUUUGAGAGUUCAGAUGAAAUUUCAACAGAUCUUGCUGAGUAUAUCUCGCAAAUUUCAGAAAUUUCUGUCAAAGAAAGGGGAUACUUUGCCAUCGCCUUAUCUGGUGGUCCCCUAGUCAGUUUUUUGGGGUAAUAUUAUUUCCUCAUAUUUAUUAGAUAUUCUACUCUAUUAUGUACUAGAAUUGUUUACAUAGUUUGCAUUCCAAUUUCUGAACUUUCUCUCCUUCAAUUACUACAAGGAAACUUUGUGAAGCACCAUACAACAAGACCCUGGACUGGUCCAAAUGGUACAUCUUCUGGUCUGAUGAACGUGCCGUUGCAAAAAACCAUGCAGAGAGUAACUAUAAGUUAACAAAAGAAGGAUUUAUUGCCAAGGUAUGUGAACUGAAGAUGCCUUAUUUUUCUUUUCCAUUUUUUGUCCGUGCUGCAGCCUAAAUAAGCUUAUGUCAAGAAUUUUUGUCAUUAAGAUCAGCUUAUUUUGUAUUGAAAUGGUGCUGUCUGUCAUGGUGUCACCUACUCUAUGUUUCCUUCAAAAGUGAGUUAAUUUGGCUCUAUUUUUGUUUAUUUUUCUGUACCAACCUGUUGGGCUAUGUAUUUCUAUAGAUAGGCCCUUGGGCUUAUAGCCCAUUGUCUGUGUUGGUGUAUGUGUUAUAUAUAUAUGUAUGUAUCAAAGACACAGAAAGUGGAGUGGUCUCUGGAAUUUUCCAUACCCCUUCAUGGUGUCGGAGCCUGGUUAGAGAGAGAGAGAGAGCUCGGCGACAGGAGUGACGGACUGGAUCUAGAGAUGUCCAGGCGCCUGAGGUUAGAUUGCCUGGCUGAGGAGUGCACCCGUGCUGCUCCUGUUGGUGGACCUGCUGCUGUGGUACCUCCUGCUACUGGUGCCUUGCUCUGUGGUGAAGAAGGAAGAGAAGGGAAAGCAUCCAGUGGAAGAAGGAAGCAGGUGCGUGUGUCAUCUCUGUUGGCUAUAGUGUGGCUCUUGUGUGGUUGUUGGAGAAAGGGUGCCUGCUGCACAGGGCAUAUAUGCUAUAUACCCUGGGGAUUUAGUUGAGCUAGAAGUUUGUGUGCUGCUUGGUGUCUCUUGAUAACAAAGGCAUCUUAUUAGUUACUGUUGUAGCUCAUACAUGAUGGGGGAAAAUCAAGGAAUUGAGCAAGUGCUUGGAAAAUUGGUAGAACUACUUACUGCAAAGAAGGAUGAGGUCUCAUCUUCAAGCAGAGAAAUUGUUGUUCAUGCUGAACCUGUCCAAAAGAUAGAGUUGAUGCCAAAUGAUGUCAAAUUAGAGGGCAUAAAAAAUUACUUGGCUUGGUCUAGAAGGGCACUUCGGUUGUUGAAAGCAAAAAAACUUGAAGGCUUCGUCAUUGGGGAAUCAUCUGAGCCAUCAGAUAAGUCAAGUCCUGAAUGGAGCACAUGGGAUGCUACCAACUCUCUGGUAGCAGCGUGGAUGUUGAGUUCUAUGACUCCGGUCAUUGCAAACACAGUAGAUACAAUUGUGAGUGCAAAAGAGAUAUGGAAAGCUUUGGAAAAGAUGUAUUCAGGUGUUGGAAAUGUGAUGCUGAUGGUUGAAAUAGAAGACAGACUCCAUGAUCUCAAACAGGGGGAGCGGUCGGUGAUGGAAUAUGUUGCUGAGUUGAAGAGUUUGUGGGCUGAUGCAGAUCAUUAUAAACCUAUCGAGUUGCCACACUCAGAGUGUGUGACAUGGGUGAAGAAGUGGAUAGAAGAAAAGAGAGUCAUUCAUUUCUUAAGGGGGCUGAACCCAGAGUUUGAGGCAAGGCGUUCUGCUAUUUUUCAUCAACCGACUCUUCCUAGCCUAGAUGAGGCCAUAGCUGCUAUUUCACAAGAGGAGUAUAGACUAAAGGUGAUGAGGGAGACUGCUACAUCACCAUCUCCUGCAUCCUUACCUCGUCCAAUUUUUGCAGCAACAGAAAUGAAAGAAAAUAGAAAGUGUUUCAAUUGUGGUGACACUGGACACUUGAGUCGUGAUUGUCCUAAGCCACUCAGGCCCAACAAUGGUAGAGGAAGAGGUACCAGAGGUGCUCUUAGGGGUGGUAGAGGCUAUGGAGGAAGAGGUGGCUAUAGGGCCAACGUAGUGGGUAUAGAAGAGGAGCUUUCUAGAGCAGCAGCUUCAUCGGUGAAAGCUGAAGAACCCAAACAAUGGAAAGAAAAAGUUCCAACUUCAUCAAUGAAAGACGAAGAACCCAGACAAUGGAAAGAUAAAGUUGAGAGCUCAAGAGAUAAAGAUCAAGUUAAUUAUGUUGGUGACUUCGUCAACUUUGCCUACAUAGAUGAAGGUAAUUAUGCUCAUGUAUCAAUGCCUACACGCAUAUCACAGUUAAAUUGGAUUUUAGAUUCAGGGGCAUCAAAGCAUGUUACAGGUGCAUCAUGUGAGUUUGAAUCGUAUAUGCAAUAUCCCCCCACACAUAAAGAAACUAUACAAACUGCUGAUGGCACAUCACAAUUUGUUAAAGGUGUUGGAACAGUUCAGUGCACUCCAUCUAUUAAAUUGUCAUCAGUUUUGCAUGUGCCAGCUUUUCCUGUCAAUCUAGUAUCAUUGAGCGCGUUAGUUGAUAAAUUGGACUGUCGGGUUACACUUGACCGAGAAAAUUGUUUAAUUCAGGAAAGGAGGACAGGGAGGAAUCUUGGGACUGCAACCAGGCAUAGUGGAUUGUGGUAUAUGGAUCGUGAGGACACAGCUGAAGCAUUAUGUACUGUGUUGGCUGCAACGAUAGGAGAGAAGGAAGCUAAUGUGAUGUUAUUACAUUGUAGACUCGGGCAUCUUUCUUUCAACAAAAUAAGCAAAGCCUUUCCUAAUGUAAUGUGUGGGGUGGAUAAGAGCAAACUAUUUUGUGAUGCUUGUGAGUUUGCAAAACACACAAGGACAUCUUAUUUGAGUAAGGGCAUUAGAAGUGCCUCCCCUUUCAUGCUAGUACAUUCAGAUGUUUGGACAUGUCCUGUGGUUUCUAUUAGUGGAAUGAAGUACUUUGUUACUUUUAUUGACUGCUUCUCUCGAAUGACAUGGGUAUAUCUCAUGAAACAUAAAGAUGAAGUGCUAAGAUGCUUCCAAGAUUUUUGUGCCCUUGUAAAAAAUCAAUUCAAUACACAUGUAAAAAUGAUAAGGACAGACAAUGGAACUGAGUAUGUGAAUAAGGAAUUCAGUACAUUCUUGUCGGCUCAUGGUAUUAUACACCAAACCUCAUGCCCAGAUACUCCUCCACAAAAUGGAGUAGCUGAAAGGAAGAAUCGUCAUAUUUUGGAGGUUGCUCGUUCACUAAUGUUUACAAUGAAUGUUCCAAAAUUUUUGUGGAGUGAAGCUGUUUUGACUGCUACAUAUCUCAUUAAUCGCACCCCAUCGAGGAUACUUGGGAUGAAGACUCCAUGCGAAAUGUUGUUAGGUGAGAACAAAUUUGUGGUUCCUCCUAAGGUUUUUGGAUGCACAUGUUUUGUUAGAGAUCAUAGACCUUUGGUGAAUAAACUGGAUCCACGUGCAGUAAAGUGCAUCUUUGUGGGUUAUUCCUCUGGACAGAAGGGUUACAAAUGUUGGAGUCCUAAUGAGAGACGCUUGUUUAUAAGCAUGGAUGUGACAUUCAGGGAGUCAAUUCCAUAUUAUGGUGAGAAGACUGAACUAAGUUUUAUGUUUGAGCCUCAUCUUAUGGGAACUGAAGAAGUUACUCGUGAGGGGGAGAACAAUGUCAUGGAAAAUAAUUUAGUUGAAAAAGUGUCGAGUAUAGAAGGAGUGAUAAGUGGUUCCUUGUCUCAAUCAAGGAGAAUGGGAGUGGCGAAUGAUGAGUCAGUCCCGCUUCAAGAAGAGAAUUCUCAAAUUGACUUGUUCCAAAAUAAGGAUGUCUCAAAGGUGUAUACAAGAAGAAAGUUUAGGUCCUCAAUUGAGGCAACCGAGGUGGCUCCAUCAGCUCCGGUGCAUGAGAGUAACCAAGAGAUAAUUGAUGUAUCUUCAUCAUCAGAAGUUGAAGCUGAGCCAUCAUCAGAUGAUUUGCCCAUUGCACUACGGAAAGGUACACGAACUAGUGCAGGAAUGCCUCCACAAAGGUAUGGGUUUGAGCAUGAUAUAAGUAACUAUGUUUCAUAUGCUUCUUUAUCUCCUGCAUAUAGAGCAUUUGUAGCCUCACUACAAUCUGUGAAAAUUCCCAAAGAUUGGCGAGAAGCAAAAAAUGAUCCCAAAUGGCAUGAAGCCAUGCGGGAGGAGUUGAGUGCUCUUGAAAAGAACCAAACAUGGGAUCUUGUCAAACUGCCUGCAGGAAAAAGGGUUGUCACUUGUAAGUGGGUCUUCACUGUGAAACAAACACCCGAGGGUAAAGUGGAAAGGUGCAAAGCUAGAUUAGUUGCACGAGGUUAUAGCCAGACAUACGGUAUCGAUUAUGAUGAGACGUUUGCUCCCGUGGCGAAGAUGAGCACAGUAAGAAUACUAAUAUCUUGUGCAACCAAUUUUGGGUGGCCCCUGCAUCAAUUGGAUGUUAAAAAUGCUUUCCUUCAUGGAGAUCUACAAGAGGAGGUGUAUAUGGAGGUUCCACCUGGUUGGUCCAAACCUGAAGCAAGUGGGAUGGUGUGCAAAUUGAAGAAGUCUUUAUAUGGUCUCAAGCAAUCUCCUAGAGCCUGGUUUGAUAGAUUUAGAUGGGCACUAUGUGAUAUGGGAUACAAACAGUGCAAUGGAGAUCACACCUUGUUCUACAGACACUUAGGGCGUAAGAUCACAAUGUUGGCUGUGUAUGUGGAUGAUAUCAUUAUCACAGGUGAUAAUGAAGCAGAGAUUGAAUGCUUGAAGAAGAACCUAAGUAAGCAAUUUGAGGUUAAAGAUCUUGGUCAACUUAGAUACUUUCUUGGUAUUGAAAUUGCUCGAUCUCCAAAAGGCAUAUUUCUGUCACAAAGAAAAUAUGUUUUAGACUUGCUCAGUGAGACUGGCAUGCUUGGGUGUCGACCUGCAUCAACACCUAUUGAUCCAAAUCACAAGUUAUGUGCUGAAUCAGGUGAUCCAGUGAACAAGGAGAGCUAUCAGAAACUGGUCGGUAAACUCAUCUACUUAUGUCAUACAAGACCUGACAUCUCAUACGCUGUGAGUGUUGUGAGCAGGUAUAUGCAUGAUCCUAGAAGUGGACACCUGGAUGCAGUUAACCGGAUCUUAAAAUAUUUAAAAGGUAGUCCUGGUAAGGGACUUAUGUUUAAAAGCCAUUGCCAUCUUAAUGUUGAGGGAUAUUGUGAUGCUGAUUGGGCAAGUAGUCUUGAUGAUAGGAGAUCAACAUCAGGCUAUUGUGUGUUUGUUGGUGGAAAUUUAGUGUCAUGGAGAAGUAAGAAACAACCAGUUGUAUCUCGUUCUACUGCUGAAGCUGAGUAUAGAGCCAUGUCACAAGGGUUGUGUGAGAUCUUAUGGGUAAGAAACCUUUUAUCUGAAUUGAAGGUGUUGAGGAAAGGCCCUUCUAUGCUACACUGUGAUAACAAAUCAGCUAUCAGUAUCGCCAAUAAUCCAGUUCAGCAUGACAGGACCAAACAUAUUGAGAUUGAUCGCUUUUUUAUCAAGGAGAAGAUAGAUGAUGGUGUUAUAGUUUUGGGUCAUGUGACUUCAAAUGAACAAGUGGCAGAUUGCCUAACCAAAGGUUUAGGAUUAAAACAGUGUGAGUUAGCAUGUAACAAGAUGGGGAUGAUAGAUAUCUAUCUCCCAUCUUGAGGGGGAGUGUUGGGCUAUGUAUUUCUAUAGAUAGGCCCAUGGGCUUAUAGCCCAUUGUCUGUGUUGGUGUAUGUGUUAUAUAUAUAUGUAUGUAUCAAAGACACAGAAAGUGGAGUGGUCUCUGGAAUUUUCCAUACCCCUUCACAACCAGACAGGGGUUGUAUCUUACAGGAGAUCCUCUAUACUGAUGGUACACCAGUUGCUUCCAUUAAUAUUGUUUUCCCCUAUACAUACCUAAACAAUGAAAAAAUUAUUCAGUGAAAUAAGAUGUUGACAAACUCUUAUAUACAAAUUUAAUAGCUGAAGUGAGUGUCUUAUUCCUUAACCUAAAAUGCUGUUUUGGUUGUCAUGUGCAAAGUUUGGUGCCCACUGAACUAUAUGAUCUGGUGGUUUCUUUUACUAUUGAGGGAUUUUUCUUCGUGACUGAUGUUUGAUUGAAGUUUUGAUGCUGUGUUUGCUCUUUGCUUCCCAUUUUUUUUAUGCUUUUGCGUGGAAGUAAUUGAUGUGAUUAUUUGCCACCACUUGUGUUAGAUCAACCUUAAGUUACAAAAAAAAAUUUCUUUACGUUAUGUCCACCUUGUUGAAGCUACAACCAUGAACAGAAUGAACACUGUAAAGUCUACAGAGCAAGAACGAACUUGUGUCAUACCUCAAUGUUGUUUUGAUAACUAAUAAGAGUGGAAUUUUAGUUUAAUCUAGCCCUGUUUAAGAUCUUAAUAUUUUUAUUGUAUGUUGAUGGUGAUGAAUGCAUGUUAUGAAAUACUACCAAUUUUAUUUUAUGACUAAUGUGUUUUCCAAAAAAAAAUUAUGAUAGUAUUAAAUUAACUCUCAAGGUGGGUCUGACUUACGUGAGGCUUUCUGAUGUUGUAUUUUCAGAGAAAAAAAAUCCUUGUUUCAACCAAAAGUUAGGAGUUUUUGGUAUUUCUGUUUCAGGACGAGGCUUAAAAUUAUCUAGAGUACCAAUCAGAGGGAGUCAUAGAUAAUCAAGAAUUCCAUGUGUGUUGCUUCGAUUCUUUCAAAGAGAAAUCAGGUCAAGAGUAGUGGCAUACAAUAUAUUAGCUCAAAAUCUAUGAUGCUAACAUUCAAUCUCUUAUUUUUGUUCUCAUUUAUCCCUAUCCAUUUUCCUUUCCUGUUACAGUAAAAAUAUUACUGCCAAUUGCAAAGCAGAGCACAUGUCAAGGUAUUACACCUUAGACACUGAUUGGUCUGGAUGGGUGGCUGGGCUAAUUUACAUUAUGAUGUGUCAUGUUCUUGCAGUAUGAUAUUUUUCAAACUUCAGAUAAUGCUAUAUCCUGUGCCAACUUGGGGGUGGGGACUGAUUAAGGCUGCCUAACUACCGCUUUAAUAGUUCCCUCUUCCAGCUACUCUGGAAGCACCCUGCACCAACCACACAUUUCCAUAGCUAUCCAUCAUUGCCAAAUGUCAGACAAAAAACUUAUCAAAAUGGUUUCUGUCAAUAUAAGGCUGGGUCUGAACUGGUCUUUCCUCCAUGCAUUAAUGUUCAGAUUUUUAGUUUCUAUUUUUUCUAGUCUAUAAUGUUUCUUAGUUCAAGGAGCUUAACAAAAAAUCAGUUUACUUUUUUGUUUUUUAAUCUCUCUCUAUUGGGCCCAUUUAAAUCUCUAAGAGUGCAAACUGUUUUGGUUGUCUAAAAGCUUUAAUAUAACCGCAGCAUUCCCUGUUCUGCUAGUGUUACUGUUGCAUGAGAUUUUCUCAAGUGUGUCAUUCAUGUUCUUCUCUGUGGAGUCUUCUGACUAUAUGUCUGAUUCAUUCUGUUCCCUUUCUUGCCAUACCAGUUACAAUGAUUCCCAUGUUUAGCUCAAGAAGCAAAAAAUCUGAACAAGAUGUGUUAGUAUCUUUGUAAUGCUUUUGCCAAGUUAACUAUCUGAUACUUGAAUGGCAUUUACAGGUACCUAUUCCGCAUGGCCAUGUCUACUCCAUAAAUGACAAUGCCACAGUGGAGGAUGCAGCAACAGACUAUGAAUUCAUGAUCAGGCAGCUGGUUAAGGUCCGCACAAUAGGAGUCUCAGAGAGAAACGACUGUCCCAAGUUUGAUCUCAUCCUCCUUGCCAUGGGCGCUGAUGGGCAUGUGGCCUCACUUUUCCCGAACCACCCUGCCAUGGAGCUGAAAGACGACUGGGUCACCUACAUCACUGACUCCCCGCAGCCUCCUCCUGAGAGGAUCACCUUCACUCUCCCAGUAAUCAACUCAGCAUCCAACAUAGCAAUAGUGUCCACCGGUGAUGACAAAGCAAAUGCUGUUCACUUAGCAGUUUCUGACACGACUGAAGGUCCUGAUGCUCCUACAUCACUGCCUGCUAGAAUGGUCCAGCCAACGGACGGGAAGCUGGUGUGGUUUCUGGACAAGGAGGCGGCAUCAUCCCUUGAGUCCAUGAACGACGACGAUGCUUCCUUCGACCGUCAUGAGUACUAACUCUGAGGAUCUGAGGUCGUCUUGAAGUGAAUGAACGGAGGUGUGUAAGUAGGUGGUGGCAUAUGAUGGAAGACGUGCUGUUUGCUCCCCUUUUAGCUCGAUGUAUGCAUUGAUUUGUCUGAGGGUUUAGUUCCGGGAAAUCUGAAAUUGCUCUUGGUCCUUUUGCUAUGAGAGGUGAUUGAAAGCGAGGAAAUGGGUAUGCGAUGUUGAGUCAUCGAAGAACAUCAGAUUUUAACUCUGGUCGUAUGAUAUUAUGUAGUGGAAGUUAGAUUUUUUUUAUUUGUUGGUAUGUCUUUCAUGGCGUCUUCUAAAAACAUUCUGAUCCGCGAGACACCAAUCCUACUGUUCUUUUAGCCCGGAGUAUGUUUCUUCCACUGUUUUUUUUUUUCUGAACAGGAGCUGAGGCUCACUCCAUAUAUUCUGUUUGUGGUCGAACGAGUGCCUAUGAGCUGAAUGAUACAAGUGUCACUCAGCCUUAAGCGCAACACCUUAUUAACGAUGCCAGUAGGCCUGACUUGCACGUUUGGGAGGGCUGCGCUCGCAGGGCUCGAGUGCCCAGAGUAAAUGAUGAUGUCUAGUUUUAAGGUUCUAGGAGAAAAAUCAGACUACAGUAAUAGUGUAGAGUAACUCCAAUAAUGAUAUCUAAAAUAGGGUUCUACUUAUGAUUUGAGAGCUUACGUCUACUUUUGAAGACCCUGUUUUCUAAAAUCAACUUCAGCAACCCUCAAUUGAUGACUCCUAACUUUAUGAUCCUAUUGAUCACAUAUAUACUCCAUCUAUUCCAAAUUAUGAGAUGCUUUAGUUUUACAGAUACAUGGCUUUUGUUAUACACUUAGAUAUACACUAUAUCUAACAUACUAGGGUCUAAUGCCACUUGAUCCAAAGGGACAUGAAGAGAGCAACAGUGGGCAACCGAAAAUAAGGACUCCCUCCAAAGCCCCGUGAAUAAAGGGGUGAAUUUAGCAGUCCUCUAUACUAAACUAAGCUUUAGUCAAGGGAGGUAGGAGUGAUCUUACAGUUUUUUUAGCUCCUGCUGCACAAUAAAGUCUUGCCUCUUCCUUUAUCUUGCCAAUGAGUGCUUCCGCUGUGUUAUGGCCGUCAUAAAAAAUUCGAAAACAAUACGCGACGAGUCAUGCGAUUGGGAAGUGUGUGACCCGUCGCCCUCCUCGCGCUCGCCUCCUCCCCCCUAGCUCCUUCGGUCCUUCCUUCCUCCUUCGGUGCGGGUUUCGGUGGCGGCGGCGGCACCGGCGAGGCAGGCCUCCUCCUCCUCCACGCGACCACACCCACAUCCUAGCCUUUUUCCCCAACUCCGGCUAGGGUUCCGGCGGUCGUGACCCACCCUUCUUCCCCAAAUCUGAAGGGCAUAGAAGGGGCUGGCCAAGGGGAGGCAGGCCAGCGGCUUAGGGGCCCUGGCCACGGUGGUGCUGCCGAGCUAGGGAAGGGCGGGGGCACCAUGGACGAAGGGGGAGGGAAAGAAGGCGGGUGCCUCGGAUGCUAGGGCUCACACGGAUCUGGCGAACCCUAACACCCACGUUGAGCGACACCAUGGCCAGAGGGGGAGGGAAAGAAGGCGGGCAUCUCGCGUGGAGCUCCAGCAAACCCUAGCACCCACGAUGGGGGCAAGGACGAGGAUGAGAGUAGGGUGGAGAGGUGGGUGGCGCAACCACUGGCUUGGAAUGGCAGGUGAGGAAGGCAGAGACAGAGGCUUAAGAGAUGAGCAGGGUCGCGUGACCCGCGAGUGCACGACGGGUUGUGCUUUAACAACCUCUCCCCCCUCCCCCCCCCCCCCCC
rnacentral:lncRNA from 1 species